rnacentral:rRNA from 1 species
AAAUGAAUUGACGGGGGCCCGCACAAGCGGUGGAGCAUGUGGUUUAAUUCGAUGCAACGCGAAGAACCUUACCUACUCUUGACAUCCAGAGAAGAUUGCAGAGAUGCGAUUGUGCCUUCGGGAACUCUGAGACAGGUGCUGCAUGGCUGUCGUCAGCUCGUGUUGUGAAAUGUUGGGUUAAGUCCCGUAACGAGCGCAACCCCUAUCCUUAUUUGCCAGCACGUAAUGGUGGGAACUCUAAGGAGACUGCCGGUGACAAACCGGAGGAAGGUGGGGACGACGUCAAGUCAUCAUGGCCCUUACGAGUAGGGCUACACACGUGCUACAAUGGUCGGUACAGCUGGUUGCUAACCCGCGAGGGGGCGCUAAUCCAACAAAGCCGAUCGUAGUCCGGAUCGCAGUCUGCAACUCGACUGCGUGAAGUCGGAAUCGCUAGUAAUCGCGGAUCAGAAUGCCGCGGUGAAUACGUUCCCGGGCCUUGUACACACCGCCCGU